CACGCACGGGUAUUUUUAUUAGAAAGGAUAAAAAUGGUGAUUUGAUUAAAUGAUUAUUCCGGCAUACUAUAAAGGUAUGGUUGGCAGCUUCUGGUGAGAAUUGGGGGUAUACUAUAUCGGCCUUCGGGCGAUAUGUCAGCUUUGGGUGAGCAGUAUACCAGUAUACUAUAUCGACCUACGGGCGAUAUGUCAGCUUUGGGUGAGCAGUAUACUUUAUUA
rnacentral:lncRNA from 1 species